ensembl:lncRNA
GUGAGUCUACAGCAUCUUGUAUUCUGUAUUCCUGCAUCUAAAACUCCUUCUCAGAAGCACAUCCCUUAAAUUGCUAAAUGGCAGUACAUUUGAUUCUUUCUGGUAUGAAUGCCCUACAGCUACCACUUUUUGUCUGAGCUCUGAAGAGGCAUUUCUGUCUCUAUUAGCAUGGCCAAACUACAAUUUGUUUCUGCAUGAUGCUUCUCUAUGGUACUACACCACUGCACAAUGACUCACAAUCUCUCAAAGAACUAUUUUAAAGAAAACUGCAAAACAUUUGUUCACCUGCAUCUCUCCGUAAAGCUUACCCCUGUGAUAAGCAUCAGAAACGUGCCUGCCUCAGGUGUGCCAAGCAAUAGUGCAGUAUCACAGAUCCAGCACUCAGCGGCCAUCUUUGUGUUUUUCACUUCCCUUUGGAGAUGCUGGUCAGUGAUUUCCUUCCCCUCCCAUUCCUUCCCACACUGGGUUUGCCCUGAGUUUUGACUGUAAAUCUUCAAAAUGGAAAAGCAAGGGUAUAACCUGGAGAUAGGCAAAGUGGGGCAUCCCUAAAUUAACAAUUCUAUUUCCCAUUCCAGAACUCUUAGUAUGUUCUUGGAAAUAUCUCUAAUCACAGUCUGGUUCUCUUCUUCCUUCGUUCAUUGAUUAUUUCAAGCAAAUUCAAGAUGAAAAUAUCAGGCAGUUAAACUGAGAUGUAUAUAAUAUCUAUUAAGAAGAUAUCCCCCCAAGUUCUAAUAAAGUCAGAGACACUUUUCCUGCUGGUUAGGUUCCACUCAGUGUAAGCAAGAAUCAGAAUAUGACCCUGUACUACAGUUGCUAGAGAAACCAAGAGCUGUUUAUUUUAACUACUACAUUAACUAAGCAUGAUUAUUUUUAAUUGAAUGAUUGUUGAAAGCAUUACAGGUGGCAUAAAGGAAUUUUUGUAAGCAGGAACAAAGGAAAAGGACCUGAUCCUUUAGCCACCCCAGGGAGACAGCUGAUGGUGUAUUUGCAGUUUGAGGCCUUAGAAGAGUUCUCAGCGAUGUCCUUAGAGCUUAGCUCACAGCCUUAAAAGUGAAAACAUUGUUUUGAAGAAAAUAGCUGGAAUAGGAAAAGUAAGGACAAGAAAAAAUAUGGAAGACAUUAAAAGCAGAAAGAAAAGGUAUGGAAACAGCAGCUGGAAAGGAGUUGGAUGCAAAACAGAUGUGGGAUCAGAACAUGGGGAAGGAAUGGGAAGAGCAAGAACAGAGGCUUCUCUGAAUGUUUGGAGAUCAAUUGUGAAAGAACAGGAGUUCUGCAUUUUUCAGCUGACCACUUCCAAAUUGAAGCUUUCCUCUCAGAAGUUUCAGGGGCACAGAAUAUUAGAAGAAUAUUAUAAAAACACAGAAAUGGUACACUGGUUCGAAGUAGAGUCCUGCAAAACAAACAGCAACUAGUCUACAGUGGUUUCUGCUGGCUGAACCAGUGUAUCCAAAGAAAAAUAUUAUUAUUUCAAUUUAAAUUAAAAAAAAAAAGAACUUUUUAUUUCCUUACGUUCCCUUAAGGUGAAGUAAACUAGUAAGGUAACUCAUAAUUAAACCGAUGCCAUA